UACGAAGGGUGCAAGCGUUACUCGGAAUUACUGGGCGUAAAGCGUGCGUAGGUGGUUCGUUAAGUCUGAUGUGAAAGCCCUGGGCUCAACCUGGGAAUGGCAUUGGAAACUGGCGACCUAGAGUGCGGUAGAGGGUAGUGGAAUUCCCGGUGUAGCAGUGAAAUGCGUAGAGAUCGGGAGGAACAUACGUGGCGAAGGCGACUACCUGGACCAGCACUGACACUGAGGCACGAAAGCGUGGGGAGCAAACAGG
rnacentral:rRNA from 1 species